GAUGAACGCUGGCGGCGUGCCUAAUACAUGCAAGUCGAGCGAAUGGAUUAAGAGCUUGCUCUUAUGAAGUUAGCGGCGGACGGGUGAGUAACACGUGGGUAACCUGCCCAUAAGACUGGGAUAACUCCGGGAAACCGGGGCUAAUACCGGAUAACAUUUUGAACCGCAUGGUUCGAAAUUGAAAGGCGGCUUCGGCUGUCACUUAUGGAUGGACCUGCGUCGCAUUAGAUAGUUGGGGAGGUAACGGCUCACCAAGGCAACGAUGCGUAGCCGACCUGAGAGGGUGAUCGGCCACAAUGGGACUGAGACACGGCCCAGACUCCUACGGGAGGCAGCAGUAGGGAAUCUUCCGCAAUGGACGAAAGUCUGACGGAGCAACGCCGCGUGAGUGAUGAAGGCUUUCGGGUCGUAAAACUCUGUUGUUAGGGAAGAACAAGUGCUAGUUGAAUAAGCUGGCACCUUGACGGUACCUAACCAGAAAGCCACGGCUAACUACGUGCCAGCCGCCGCAGUAA
rnacentral:rRNA from 1 species